GGCUUCGUAGCUGGUAGAGCGUUUGCCGCGUAGAGGCAUGGUGUUUCUGUCGCUGGUUCGAAUCCAGCCGAAGUCC
rnacentral:tRNA from 1 species